rnacentral:rRNA from 1 species
AUGAGAACACCUCACGCAGCGCUCCUCUUGCUCUUCAUCCUGUCGUGCUCCCGCGUUGCCUACUCCGGUGGCGGCCGGAGCCGCUUCACCUCCAUAAUCAGCUUCGGCGACUCCUAUGCCGACACGGGUAACUUGGUCAGGUGGGCUGAUCCCGUCCUUCCCGGCCCGAACCCAUUCAACAACCUCCCCUACGGCGAGACCUUCUUCGGCUACCCCACCGGACGCGCCACCGACGGCCGCCUUGUGCUGGACUUCAUCGCUCAGGCUUUGGGUCUGCCUUUGGUGCCGCCGUAUCUCGCCAAGGGGAGCAACUUCUCCAACGGAGUAAACUUCGCCGUGGCAGGAGCGCCGGCUCUGAACCUGACAUACCUGCAGGGACAGAAUUUGACCGUGGAACCUCCGAUCAACCGCUCCCUCCACGAUCAGCUCGACUGGUUCCAGAAACUAAAGCCUUCGCUCUGCAAGGGAAAAGGUGCUGAUUUCUUCGGGAGCUCCCUGUUUGUCAUGGGAGAGUUCGGAGGAAAUGACUACAACUUCCUUAUGUCGUGCAACAGGACCGUGGAACAAGCCAGAGUUUAUGCUCCUCAAAUUGUUGACAGCAUCUCCCGAGGCGUAGAGGUACUACAUACUGAUCCAGCACGGCGCCAAGUAGUUGUGGCAGACAUCUUCCCCAUUGGCUGCCUACCGGCAAUUCUCACGAUGCUCGCUAGCCCAAACAACAUGGAGUAUGAUGGGCACGGAUGCCUGAAGAGUAUGAACAAGCUGGGACGCUACCAGAGCUCUCUCCUUCGACGACGGAUCAAGGUGCUACGGUACAAGUACCCACAUACGAAGAUCAUUGCCACCGAGUACUACCGACCGGUCCUUGCAUGCGUGUUGGUUGCUUAG